AGAACGAACGCUGGCGGCAUGCCUAACACAUGCAAGUCGAACGAGACCUUCGGGUCUAGUGGCGCACGGGUGCGUAACGCGUGGGAAUCUGCCCUUGGGUUCGGAAUAACAGUUGGAAACGACUGCUAAUACCGGAUGAUGACGUAAGUCCAAAGAUUUAUCGCCCAGGGAUGAGCCCGCGUAGGAUUAGCUAGUUGGUGAGGUAAAGGCUCACCAAGGCGACGAUCCUUAGCUGGUCUGAGAGGAUGAUCAGCCACACUGGGACUGAGACACGGCCCAGACUCCUACGGGGAGGCAGCAGGUGGGGAAUAUUGGACAA
rnacentral:rRNA from 1 species